rnacentral:tRNA from 1 species
GGGGAUACAGCUCAGUUGAUAGAGUCUUUGCCUCGGAUACACAAGGCCCUGGGUUCAAUCCCCAGCAACCCCC